CUCUAAACUCUCUCUCUCUCUAAAUGCAGGUUUCGAUCACUCUCUCUCAUAAUCUCUUACAUUUUUUUGUUGUGAUUUCAUAUGCUUCUCUCUAAAACGCAGGCCUUAAACUUUCGAUGAAGAAAUCGUUGAAUAUAAAUUUUGGUGAAGAAGAAGAAGAAGACACCGUUUCUGCGUGAGCAUCAAGCUUCUCCUCCGUCGCAAAACCGCCGCAAUCGCCGCCCUAGAAGCGGGUCUAUACGCCGAAGCAAAACAAUACGAUGGAGGAGUUGCCAGAUGUGAAGAAUCGGAGGUUGUAGCGGGAAGAGUUUCAGAUGCAGGAUCAUUUCAUCCGAGCAAAAUACAGGAUCACUUCAAGAUAAACAGUGAUGUUUCUCAAGAGAAUAAACAGACACAGGGUAAUCAAUGGAGGGGAGAUAAGGGUGGGCGAGGGACUUUCUACGCGUCAAAAGUUUUUGAAGAUGUUGGCGGUGGGAGAAAUUUGAGUUCCGGGAAGAAAUAUGGUGCUACUAAUCACGUAGAGAAGGUUUUGAAGCCAGCCGUGCCAGGAUAUCGGAAGAUAAAACAACAUAGUACAUGUGUCAAAUUCUUGUGCCAAUGUCAAUGGUACACCAACUUUAUCUUAUGGGAAUUACAACCAUAAGCUUUCAUCUGAACCACCUGCAGUUGUUGGAGUUUGACGAGUCUAAGACGGUUACUAGCAGGGAUGGCGAUGCAGAUGAGAAUACAAGCAAGAAAGUAGAAUGAGAUAUGAAAAUUAGAGAUUAUGUGGGUUAUCUUUUUCGAUCGAUCAAAGGAUGGUGAAGCAUAAGGCGCAGUGGAAGAAGCGCGGUGUAGACUUCAAAGUAAGUAUCAUAUUUCAUUGUCUUCAUAAAUGAGUUUGAAUAUUGUCGACGUUUUUGAAAUCCUGCAGAAAAUAAAGCAAAAGAUUGGAAAGAAAUUGCGGCCACCUACGAAUACCGAACUCAAAUCGAAAGGUUGAUUUAUAUGCUAACUGAAUACCAUCCCUGAUCAUAUCGAGGCAUAUUAUACGAUUGGCAUGGUUACAUGAAUACGAUUUGGAGCCACAUCAUAUUCGAGCACACAUCUACGUUUGAUAUGCUUGCGAUGGAUCCAAAAAAGAAGAAGGAUAUAUUGGACGAUCUGAUUACGUUCAGCAAGUCUAAAGACUACUACAAGGAGAUUUUGUAGGGACAUGGUUGGUUUGUAUCAUGGCCAGAGCCAAGAAAUUUUCUAGGCAGGGUCGAGUGACUAACGGAAAAAGGCGGUGUAUCCGAAACCUUUGUAAUCAUCGAUUUUUCUGAUAUUUAAAUGAGUAAAACCAAUGAUGAUUAUAAAAGGUUGAUGGUAACUGGAUUAGCUACUUUUAAAGUUGUAUAGUGAUUCAUUGUUUAAUAAAAUGGGCUAUGUAAAACAUUAGUACUCGAUUGUAUUUAAUCUUUGCUUUAUUGUGUUAAGAAACGACCCGUGUGCGUCUUACCGCUAGUACUAUAUAAUAAAAGAAACUAUUUUGGGGACAUAUGUCGCUUUAUGAGGUGGUCUCAAUUAAAAGAUUUGAUGAUAA